UUAAGAACAUGAAUUUUAAUACUAAAUGAUUUUAUUUUUGAAGCAUCAAAAAGCCUAGUAAUGGAGAAAGAAACUUGGUGUGCUAAGAAAGAAGAGUACUGCAAAGGAAUAUUGUUAAUUAAGCCAUAGCAGCUAAAGAUAGCGUACUUUUUGCAUCACGGUUUAGCAAGAGAAUAUCGAAGCUUCGUGCUCUCGAAAACUGGUGAGCUAUUCUUUUUCAAGUUUUAGCUUUUUACUAAAAGUGUAGCAAAACUUUGGUUAAAAAAAAGGAUAGAUAUGAGAUUUUAUCCGCACCGGUGAUAGCUAGUUCCCUUAGAAAAGCAUAGAAGUGCUAAAGUAAAGACAGAUUAGUGAGAAAUAAGACUUAAUAAUUUGUUUUACAUUAUAGUUUAUUAAGGAUAAGCUUAAUAAAAGUACAGGAAAAAGACAUAUACUUUAAUGGGUUACUUGGGCUUGAAAUUAGCCAUUAUAACGAAAUUUGUUAUAAAAUAAUUCUUUCAAUUAAGAGGAUUCCUAUGUUUUUGUUCUGCUCGACAAUAAGGGUAAAAAGUAAAACUAAUAAGCUCAAUUUAUUUAUGCUAAAAUGAGUAUUUUCACACCCACAUGUAGGUAAACACUAAAGGUACCUAUAGUAAUAUAGCUUAAAAAGUUAAAAUAAAAAGAAGGAACUCGGCAAAUUUUACNUCGCCUGUUUAUCAAAAACAUGGCUCUUUGUUGUUUUAAUAUAAAGAGUCAGGCCUGCCCAGUGAAAACUUUUAACGGCCGCGGUACCCUGACCGUGCAAAGGUAGCAUAAUCAUUUGCCUUAUAAUUGAAGGCUUGUAUGAAUGGUUCAACGAAAGCACUGCUGUCUCCUUUUUAAUAGAUAGAAUUUGACUUCUAGGUGAAGAGGCCUAGAUAUAAUUGAAAGACAAAAAGACCCUGUCGAGCUUUAAAAGUCAAGUUAGAAAUACUUAUAAAAUAAUUUAGAUCUAGCACUAACUGUUCUUUUUGGUUGGGGCGACCAAGGAACAAUAAAAGCUUCCUUUUCUAAUUUAACUUAUAGGUACUGAUCCAGCAUAAAGCUGAUUGAAAAAAUUAGUUACCGCAGGGAUAACAGCAUAAUCUCUCUUGAGAGACCAAAUCGAAAGGGGGGGUUGUGACCUCGAUGUUGGACUAGAAUGUCCUAAAGAUGCAGAAGUCUUUAAAGGUUGGUCUGUUCGACCAUUAAAAUUCUACAUGAUCUGAGUUCAGACCGGCGUGAGCCAGGUCAGUUUCUAUCUUCAAUUAUUAGUUUAAUUUUAGUACGAAAGGAUCGGAUUAAAGAAAUUAUUUUGAAUUGAGAAAAAAUAUAAUACAAAAAUAAAUCACAUUUUCUUAAA
rnacentral:rRNA from 1 species